UACAGAGGUCCCGAGCGUUGUUCGGAUUCAUUGGGCGUAAAGGGUGCGUAGGCGGCGGGGCAAGUCUGAUGUGAAAUCCCGGGGGCUCAACCCCGGAACUGCAUUGGAUACUGCCUUGCUUGAGUACUGGAGAGGGAACUGGAAUUUACGGUGUAGCAGUGAAAUGCGUAGAGAUCGUAAGGAAGGCCAGUGGCGAAGGCGAGUUCCUGGACAGUGACUGACGCUGAGGCACGAAGGCCAGGGGAGCAAACGGG
rnacentral:rRNA from 1 species